GACGAACGCUGGCGGCGUGCCUAAUACAUGCAAGUAGAACGCUGAAGGAGGAGCUUGCUUCUAUGGAUGAGUUGCGAACGGGUGAGUAACGCGUAGGUAACCUGCCUGGUAGCGGGGGAUAACUAUUGUAGACGAUAGCUAAUACCGCAUAAGAGUAGAUGUUGCAUGACAUUUGCGUAAAAGGUGCAAUUGCAUCACUACCAGAUGGACCUGCGUUGUAUUAGCUAGUUGGUGGGGUAACGGCUCACCAAGGCGACGAUACAUAGCCGACCUGAGAGGGUGAUCGGCCACACUGGGACUGAGACACGGCCCAGACUCCUACGGGAGGCAGCAGUAGGGAAUCUUCGGCAAUGGACGGAAGUCUGACCGAGCAACGCCGCGUGAGUGAAGAAGGUUUUCGGAUCGUAAAGCUCUGUUGUAAGAGAAGAACGAGUGUGAGAGUGGAAAGUUCACACUGUGACGGUAUCUUACCAGAAAGGGACGGCUAACUACGUG
rnacentral:rRNA from 1 species